AUUGAACGCUGGCGGCAUGCUUUACACAUGCGAGUCGAACGGUAACAGGCCUUCGGGUGCUGACGAGUGGCGAACGGGUGAGUAAUGCAUCGGAACGUGCCCAGAGGUGGGGGAUAACGCAGCGAAAGCUGUGCUAAUACCGCAUGUGAUCUGAGGAUGAAAGCGGGGGACCAGGCAGCAAUGUUUGGCCUCGCGCCUUUGGAGCGGCCGAUGUCGGAUUAGGUAGUUGGUGGGGUAAAGGCCUACCAAGCCGACGAUCUGUAGCUGGUCUGAGAGGACGACCAGCCACACUGGGACUGAGACACGGCCCAGACUCCUACGGGAGGCAGCAGUGGGGAAUUUUGGACAAUGGGCGCAAGCCUGAUCCAGCAAUGCCGCGUGCGGGAAGAAGGCCUUCGGGUUGUAAACCGCUUUUGUACGGAACGAAAAGGCUCUGGCUAAUACCUGGGGCUGAUGACGGUACCGUAAGAAUAAGCACCGGCUAACUACGUG
rnacentral:rRNA from 1 species